CUUCCCUCCGUCACACGUGUGCUUGACCCUCUUACACAUCUACCACGUGUCUUCAGUGUUGUCAAUCUUUCUUGUUGACUCAUCUUAUUUGGGGGGCUGACAUCGCUUCAAAAUGAUUGGGUGGCUAUGAUUCCCUAUCCAAAAGAAAAUCGAGUGAACUGAUUCACUUUGUCUCCGCUUUCUUCUUCUAAUUGUGAUGCAAAAGGUCUUACUUCUAUUCUACAUGGGUCUCGCUAAUCUUGAAAUAUAAUAAAACUGCAUAUUUUUUU